UUAUAAUUACUAAUAAUAGCGAUAAAUAAAUAAAAACACGGUUUGCUAAUCGUUACAAGACAAAAUAGACAACGUGUUUACUUGGUAUUAGUUGGUCGUUUAUUUCGGGUUAACUGAUUUUUAUUCCACGGACAUACAGUUAUAUAUUGUGUAUUUAAAAUUAAAACGGAUAUAAAACGUUAAAACGUUUACAACGAAAUGAUGAUAUCUAUUCGCACAGUGACACUUGAGCACGAUACAAUACAAUGCGAUGCAAUGGCAUGGACAACACUUUUAUAAAUGUGGGCGGCGGCUCAGGAUACAACAGCCCGUUCGCGGGCGAAAUGCCGCACGAGUAAAGUUUGCUACGGUGGUGUGCCGUAGUCCGUACACGUACCGAAUUCGUGCGCGAUCGUGGUGGCCGACCUGCCGACCACGGGUAGGCCACAGAAUGAUCGGCAGGAGAAGUGACGGCGUCGAACACAAAGACUGUACCCGCCUGAUCCGCGGACCGGAUCUGCUUCCGUGGCACUGUCUAUAUAAGUAUUGCGAUCCACACGUCGCAAACGAAAACGCGCCAGGCGGCGGAUGAUGAUCAGUCGAUGUAGAUCCAGUCGAUGUAGAUCGAGUCGACUCGGCCUACGGGGCACGACGUCGCUCCGUGGCACAUUCCAAUGACCAGAGCACUGGCCGCUCUGUCAUGGACACGGAGUGCAGACUUGUUAUACUUACCUAUUGUCUGCAUGAUCGCCUGCAACAUUAGGCCGUCGCGGCCGUAUAGGUGUUGAUCAUGACUACCAUCAUGUUGCAGGGAACGAUGCCGAUAAUGGAAAUUCGGCCUCUAUAUGUGUAUGAAUCGCCGUAACCGACCGCAGUAGCGUACUUGUUGGUACCGUGGUGAUUAGUAUGCUAUUGCGCGUUGCGAUACACGUGUCGGUUGGCAGCGCCCUCUAUGUGUAGUAUACGGGGGAUCCGCGCUCUCGGAACGGUUGGUUUAGUCGCGUUGGUGUUGGCUGGGUGCGCGCUU